AGCAGUAGCCGCGGUAAUACAGAGGGUGCGAGCGUUAAUCGGAUUUACUGGGCGUAAAGCGUGCGUAGGCGGCUAAUUGAGUCGGAUGUGAAAUCCCCGAGCUUAACUUGGGAAUUGCAUUCGAUACUGGUUAGCUAGAGUGUGGGAGAGGAUGGUAGAAUUCCAGGUGUAGCGGUGAAAUGCGUAGAGAUCUGGAGGAAUACCGAUGGCGAAGGCAGCCAUCUGGCCUAACACUGACGCUGAGGUACGAAAGCAUGGGGAGCAAACAGGAUUAGAUACCCGCGUAGUCCCUGUCUCUUAUAC
rnacentral:rRNA from 1 species